rnacentral:lncRNA from 1 species
UCUACACCAUUCUCUCUCAAUCCAAAUGCUUAUUCAGAUCUUCCCCUUUAGAUCCAAUUCAGGAUCCUCUCUUCUCUUACCCUUCCUCCUAUGGAGAGCACAAGUAUGCUGUCUCAACCACACGUUCUACAUGCACUUCUCCUAUUUUCUUUUCAGGUGCUCUGCCUCGAUUCCUCUGUUCUGUGUAAUUCUCUCCCAAUAUAGAAAAUGCUAAAUUUGUGUUGUUGUGAUAAAGCUGAAGAAUUUCCACUAAUGGAUUGUGGUUAUCGGAUUCAGAUUACUUGGAUGUUGUGAAGGAGAUCAAGAAUUUGAUCAAGGACUCUUCAUCAGUUGAGGAGUCGAGUGCUCUACGCUACAUGCUUCUCGGCUACCAGGAAGCUAAAACCAUUCAUGCAGUAAAACCCCCAAUUCCUAUCAGUGUCAUAUCCAGAAGCUACAACCCCUAAUUAAAAAUCCUAAAAUUGGAACCCAAAACCUCCCAAAUUUCACAGAACAAACUGAAAAUCGAUACAUACCUUCUCAGGUGAGCGGCGAUGACGAUGCUGAGCGACGACGAUGAUGCUGAGCAGCGACAGUGAGCACAUGCGACGAUGAUGCUGAGCGGCG